GAUGAACGCUAGCUACAGGCUUAACACAUGCAAGUCGAGGGGCAGCGGUAUCGGAAGCUUGCUUUCGGUAGCCGGCGACCGGCGCACGGGUGAGUAACGCGUAUCGAACCUGCCUCAUACUCGGGAAUAGCCUUGCGAAAGUAAGAUUAAUGCCCGGUGUUUUCAGAGUCCCGCAUGAGGCUUUGAACAAAGAUUUAUCGGUAUGAGAUGGCGAUGCGUCCCAUUAGCUUGUUGGCGGGGUAACGGCCCACCAAGGCAUCGAUGGGUAGGGGUUCUGGAAGGAAGGUCCCCCACAUUGGAACUUGGACACGGUCCAAACUCCUACGGUAGGCAGCAGUGAGGAAUAUUGGUCAAUGGGCGGAAGCCUGAACCAGCCAAGUAGCGUGCAGGAAGACGGCCCUCCGGGUUGUAAACUGCUUUUAGUUGGGAAUAAAACGGGGCUCGUGAGCCCCCUUGCAUGUACCAUCAGAAAAAGGACCGGCUAAUUCCGUGCCAGCAGCCGCCGCCG
rnacentral:rRNA from 1 species